rnacentral:misc_RNA from 1 species
GAUGAAGAACGCAGCGAAAUGCGAUAAGUAAUGUGAAUUGCAGAAUUCAGUGAAUCAUCGAAUCUUUGAACGCACAUUGCGCCCGCCAGUAUUCUGGCGGGCAUGCCUGUCUGAGCGUCAUUUCAACGCUCAUGCCCCUAGGGCGUGGUGUUGGGGAUCGGCCAAAGCCCGCGAGGGACGGCCGGCCCCUAAAUCUAGUGGCGGACCCGUCGUGGCCUCCUCUGCGAAGUAGUGAUAUUCCGCAUCGGAGAGCGAUGAGCCCCUGCCGUUAAACCCCCAACUUUCCAAGGUUGACCUCAGAUCAGGUAGGAAUACCCGCUGAACUUAAGCAUAUCAAUAAGCGGAGGA